rnacentral:rRNA from 1 species
UACGUAGGGGGCAAGCGUUGUCCGGAAUCAUUGGGCGUAAAGAGCGUGUAGGCGGCCAGAAAAGUCCGCUGUGAAAACUCGAGGCUCAACUUCGAGCUGUCGGUGGAAACUUUCUGGCUAGAGUCCGGAAGAGGAGAAUGGAAAUCCUGGUGUAGCGGUGAAAUGCGCAGAUAUCAGGAAGAACACCCGUGGCGAAGGCGGUUCUCUGGGACGGUACUGACGCUGAGACGCGAAAGCGUGGGGAGCGAACAGG